UACAGAGGUGCCGAGCGUUAGGCGGAAUCACUGGGCUUAAAGCGCGUGUAGGCGGGUCGUUAAGUGUCCGCGUGAAAUCCCACGGCUCAACCGUGGAACUGCCGGAGCAUACUGGCGACCUUGAGGCACUUAGGGGCGAGCGGAACAAAUGGUGGAGCGGUGAAAUGCGUAGAUAUCAUUUGGAACGCCGACGGUGAAAACAGCUCGCUGGGAGUGUCCUGACGCUGAGACGCGAAAGCCAGGGGAGCGAACGGG
rnacentral:rRNA from 1 species